UAUCGAUUGGGCCUGCGCGUUGCAAUGUUUAUUGACCUUUAGUUUCGCGUCCAGGAUUUCUUGACUGACAAACUUCGAUUACAAGAGGGCAGGCAAGGAGGGUAUAGCCUGACUUCAAGCUGCAGAUAGAGCCAGCAGCUCAAAAGGUGCUGCAGAAUGAAUAGAAAAUGUUUCUUCAUAUUACUAGGUACGUUCAUCAUAAACAUAAUGUACCCGGUGGAGCCGUUGUACCAUAUCUUCUACACCGGUAUACCUUGGGUCAUGUCGGCGCAGUAUCUUAGGAAACUAUGGAUGACGCUUAUGUAUGAGAGUCAGGGUCGUGUCGAGCUGAAUAGUCUUGUACAGUAAGAAACAGGAGUUACGGUCACUAGCAUUUGUUAAGGUGUCGCAUCAAAACAACAGGAUGCUCGACUGAUUUUUACUUCAAUUUUACCUUAUUGAAUCGAAAAGCAUUGCCCC